UACGUAGGGUGCGAGCGUUGUCCGGAAUUAUUGGGCGUAAAGAGCUCGUAGGCGGUUUGUCGCGUCGGCCGUGAAAACUUGGGGCUUAACCCCAAGCCUGCGGUCGAUACGGGCAGACUUGAGUUCGGCAGGGGAGACUGGAAUUCCUGGUGUAGCGGUGAAAUGCGCAGAUAUCAGGAAGAACACCCGUGGCGAAGGCGGCUCUCUGGGACGGUACUGACGCUGAGACGCGAAAGCGUGGGGAGCGAACAGG
rnacentral:rRNA from 1 species